rnacentral:rRNA from 1 species
ACCCAGACUCCUACGGGAGGCAGCAGUGGGGAAUAUUGCACAAUGGGGGAAACCCUGAUGCAGCGACGCCGCGUGAGCGAUGAAGUAUUUCGGUAUGUAAAGCUCUAUCAGUAGGGAAGAAGAUGACGGUACCUGACUAAGAAGCCCCGGCUAACUACGUGCCAGCAGCCGCGGUAAUACGUAGGGGGCAAGCGUUAUCCGGAUUUACUGGGUGUAAAGGGAGCGUAGACGGCGAUGCAAGCCAGAUGUGAAAGCCCGGGGCUCAACCCCGGGACUGCAUUUGGAACUGCGUGGCUGGAGUGCAGGAGGGGCAGGCGGAAUUCCUGGUGUAGCGGUGAAAUGCGUAGAUAUUAGGAGGAACACCGGUGGCGAAGGCGGCCUGCUGGACUGUGACUGACGUUGAGGCCCGAAGGCGUGGGGAGCAAACAGGAUUAGAUACCCCGGUAA